GCCUGCCCUCCAGGAGCUCCCAAUCUAGUGGGAAAGUCUUAAAAGUAACUCAAUAGACUGUGAGCUCCUUGAGGGCAAGGA
rnacentral:pre_miRNA from 13 species